UACUUCUUAUGCUAUACAUAUAUAUACAUAUUCGACUUCAUGAGUUUAGAUCAAAGCAUAAACUUGAACUUCGGUAUUAGUUUCCGAACUUUGAAAAGAGUUUUAGUCCGAUUAUCUCUGCUUGCUUUGGUUGAACAAGCAUGGUGUCAUAGAAAGGUUAAAUUACUUGACUAUCCUAAACUUCGGAUAGUUUAAGCAUUUAUGUUACUUACAAUUUUGGUCCUUAAAGGUUACAAGGAUGCGUUAUAUUUGACCUCUCUACUCCUAUUGAGGCCUCUAUAACGGCUCUCGCCCUUGUCUUGUAGACACAAAAUUGAUAGUUUCAAUUUUUGCAGAUAUGGAGAAGAAGCCGGUAAAGCAACAAAUGAAGGGCUUGGUGCAGCAGGGCAUGCAAUAGGAACAGCAUGGGCUGUGUUGAAGAUAAGAAAGGCUUUAAACCCAAAAAGUGCUUUCAAGCCAACUACUCUCGUAAAAGCAGCUGCUGCCCAUUCUAGUUCCUCUUCUAAAUAAAUUCUUUGGAUUCUUUUUUUUCUUCUUUUAAUUGUAAUACAUAAUUGCCCCCAAUUAUAUCAUGUGGCCUGAUGGAAUUGUAAUGCCCAAUUUUUCUGUAGUGGGUUUGUGUUUCUAUUGUUUUGUUGUAUAUUUUGUUUUUGUAUAUCAAACAGUUUUGGAUAUGAUAUAUAGUCUACACUCGUCUUGUUUUCAAUUAUUUUUAGUUAGAUUUCUUGGGCUGCUUUGAUUAUUUUGUAACUUAGAUUACAAUAAAAGUAGGUUGCUAAGAUAAUGCAAUGAUAAAAUCAAACAGGUAAACUGAUUCUAAUUGUAAUUAAUAAAUAAAACUGAAAUGAUGGAAUUUAUGUUUGUUCUAAGUAGUUAAGAACUUGAUGAAGAUAUCUAAUAAGCUAACCCAAUAAUGAUCUACUACUUAAAAGAUCAAGUACCAAAUUAAAGUUAAUUGUGUCUUAGUUCGAGUAAUGGAAAGUAGAUGAAGAGAGUCCAAGUUGGUUGGGUAUUUGGGUUAAAAGUGGUGCAAUUCUGAGUUGAAAUUUUCCUUCAAUCUGUGGUCUACAAUAUCGUUUACACCAUUUUUACAUCUCAACAUAUUUGCUUAUACCAAUCUUUCAUACUCUCAUGUUUCAAACUUUUUGUGGUACUUGUUUUAGUUACCAUAGAUAAGAAAUAAUAGUUAGCAAACUGUUCAAGAAAUGAACAAGGAAGUGGUUGAUGUUUUGAGUGUUUCGAGGUUGAUUUUGAGAAUUUGGUAUCACUUUGGAGAUAAGAUAUGUGUAUAAAUAAUGGGAUAAUGUUUGGAAAAUAAAAAACAAAAGAACAAGUAGUAGGUUGAAGAAAUAAUUGUGAUAAUUUCAAGUGGUGGAGAUUAGAAACCAUAUCUUCCAUUUGUUUUUCUAUUCUUUUUUAUUGCUUCUUUUCAUGAAUUUUAUUUUCUACAUUCUUAUCUCAAUGUGGAAAUUUAGUUACUCUAAUUUCAUAUUAUGUCACCAAUUCCUUUUUUGUAUCAACUCUUCUCUUAACAACAGCGUGUUCAAUUACUUGUCUUAAUUUGGUGUUCUGUAAAUUUCUUAGCCACUAUAAAAAUUUGCACUUAAAUUAAUCGUUCGGCUCAUGCUUUUGGUCUAGACACGUUCUUGAAGUUCACAUACUUAAAAGUACUUACACUGAUGUGGUGUUGAGUCGAAUACACUUUGAAGCUUACAUUAGUUCGUGAAUACAAAUAAUUACUCAUUCCUUCAAGUUGUCUGUAUAAGGUUCUUCUUCUGACAAGUGCUUGAAGAUAUGUGUGACUCUCUUAAGGUUGGAGAUUGUGCUAGUAGCGAAACCGGAUGAAUUUAGUUGUUCUAACUUAUGACCAAUGCAUCUUACUUUUCCUUAUAUUCCAAUUAUCUCAUUGUUUCCUCUUUUAGACUUAGGCCCACACAUGUGUUUUGGCUACCCUCAAUAAUCUUAAUAUAAAAUAAAUGAUUCAAUGAAUGGGAAAUCCAUUGAAAGUAGGUAUCAUAUUCAAUUUUUGUAUAGAAAGUAUCAUAAAAGAAGAGGUUAAUAGUACUUUAAAUCUCCCCCAACAUUAACCUCCAUUAAUUUGCACCUUUGGCCACUUGGAAUCCCAUGGAAAUAUCUUUGUUGUGUUUACAACUUUCCACUUCCUCUCAUUUAUUUAUAAUUUUCUUAAAAAAUCAAUGGAACUUUAAGAGAUGUCUUCACCCACAUCACAAUCACUCAUAAAAAUAAAAGGGUCCACUACACAAACUAGCAUGCAUGACCAUAUGAGCAUCAUUCAGUAUCUUAGCCACACCCUCUAUACAUAUAUAUAUAUAUAUAUAUCUUCAUUAAUCAUAUGGAUCAUAAUAUAUAUCCUACCAACCUUAUUAAUUAUCCUUUUCUUUUUCUUUUUCUUCCCUUUCAAACCCAAACCAACCCUUGUGUGACACAUUAAACUACCUUUUAUGUGCCUCAUCAAUUUUAUAUCUUUGUUUUAAGAUCUUUCACAUCUUCACUUUUAACUUUUAGUUAUUCUUUAACUUGUUAAUAUAAUUAUGUAUCGUAUGCUUUUUUUUACUCACUUACCUAUUGUAUAAUAUUUUUGUAGUACACAAUAAAAGGGAAAAUUCAAACUUCAAACAUCUCACUUGUUAACACAUAUUAUAUAAUCUACAUGGAAUUUUUUUAAUACACGAUAGAAGUUGAUAGUGAAAGUUUGAUAUUAACUAAAUUAUGUUCAUUUUUUAUUAAAUAGGUCUCGAGAGUUACUGUUAAUUGGUUAGUUCAAGUAAUUAGCUAUGGGUACAUAUUCACAUUUUAUUCAAGUUUUAAGAACCAACUAGAUAGUUUAUGGCUGCUUCUUGGACCAUCCAUUUCACUCAUGUUCUGCGUAUCUUUUGCUAUGUCAAGGGGAGCAUGGACUUCAGUUCUCUUCUCAGUCAUCUCUCGUGUUAUUUGGUUACUCUGAUGCAAAUUGGGUGAGAAUCCUAUAGAUCGACGAUCUACAAAGUGUUGUCUCUCAUUUCGGUAUUAAAUUAGAAUAUCAUGUUCUUGAUGAUGUUAUUUCAUAACUCUUAUGGCUCUGUUGGCUCCUUGUUGUAUAUGGGUGUCGCUCAACAGACUCCACUCUCCUUUAUUGUGACAAUUGUAACACUAUCUAAAUUGCUCACAAUGAUGUACUUCAUGAGCGUACAAACCACAUAAAAAUAAUUAUUAUUUUGUUCGUCAUUUACGUUCCAUUAAAAUAGUAACACUCUUCUUUUAGGUUCCAUUUCCACUACUUCACAACUAGCAUGAAUAUUCAUCAAAACAUUACCACUUGGUUGCUUCGUUCAGUUGUUUAUCCAACUCAUGCCGGACUACUACUCCUACUACCUCGAGUUUAGUAUACAUGUAAACUAUAAAUCUAAGAGUAACCACGUUCCUUGUUUAUAUGUAUAGACUUGAAUACUUA
rnacentral:lncRNA from 1 species